rnacentral:lncRNA from 1 species
GACUUAGCCAAAUUUUUGAGUUUUUCAGCUGUUGCGCAGCGAGGGACCGGUCUGCCCGUCCGGGACCGAUCUCGCGAGGACCGGUCUCACCACCAGGGACCGGAUGCCUCAGGACUUUCUGGCAGGCUACGCGUACGGGGACCGGUCUCUCCUUCAAGGACCGGUCCCCGAGAGCUCAAAAUCUGGGACUUAGCCAGAUUUUCAAAUUUGCUCUCUCGGGUCCCUUUUAGCUCCGUUUAUGAACUCUAAUGCACUUAGGGUCCAUUCUAACUUAUUCAAAUCCGCGUUCCGCUCGUUUCGACGGAAUUCGGCACAAUUUACGAGGGAUGUGGUAUGUUACAUUGUCCACCCCUAAAAUUUAGUUUCGUCCGCGAAACUACUUAGAUUGGAAUUUAAAUUUCCAUACCUCAUUUCAAUUCGUCGAAGAGGUGAGGAUGGCGCUCUCGCAUCUCGCUCUCAAGUUCCCAAGUCUCUUCCCGAUCGCCGUGCUCGCUCCAAUGAAUUUUAACAUACGGAAUUUCGCGAUUCCGUAGUUUCCUUACUUCCC